rnacentral:rRNA from 1 species
GAUCAUGGCUCAGGAUGAACGCUAGCUACAGGCUUAACACAUGCAAGUCGAGGGGCAGCAUGGUCUUAGCUUGCUAAGGCCGAUGGCGACCGGCGCACGGGUGAGUAACGCGUAUCCAACCUGCCUUACACUCUUGGACAGCCUUCUGAAAGGGAGAUUAAUACAAGAUGUUAUCUUAAGCACACAUGUAAUUAAGAUUAAAGAUUUAUCGGUGUACGAUGGGGAUGCGU